ensembl:lncRNA
GAGCAGCAGCGCCCCGCCCCACUGCAAAUUAGCCAAUAGAAGCUUUCUGAGCUUCCCGAAUGACAGCCGCUUCCCGCCCCGGGGCCACUUAGCUGACCAAUCAGACCAAGGCGGUUCCUUUGUGCUAUUCAAAUACCGAACGGACCCCGGGCCUCCAACGCCGCUGCUGCCUCGAAUGUUCUCCUGGGGCCGCGGCACCGCGUGGGACUCGGAGCUUCCUAGGUAGCCGCCCACAGCGUCGGUCGUCUCUCGGGAACCACGUUGAGGACUGCGGCUACCCUGGACCUGGCUCCCGCGAGCUGGGGGUCGGCUCACCUGAGCGCCGCGGAGAUGGCUCCGCCCCCUUCCGCACCGUUGGGCCUCACCUGCAGCAGGUGCGCGCGGUUCCCCGCUCCGGGCCACGCGGCGCCUCCUCUUUCUCACCUGCUAAGGCCAGGGGAAUCUGGGAGAGGCUGGUCUGGAACUCACAGAGAUCCUCCUGCUUCUGCCUCCGGAGUGCUGGGAUUAAACGCGUGCGCCACCAAGGCCCAGUAAUGAACUGAUUACUUAUGGGGUACCUAUGACAUGUCUGCUGUCACCUGGUGACUCUGGGAAAAGCUGCUUUGUGUCAAGUGACUGGGUGAGAACCUCAAUAACAGUCACCCUGAGCAACUAUUUGACUUUGAGUCACCUGUGUCCCUGUGCGGGGCCCCAGAUUCUCAACUGUGACUGCUUGUGGAUGUUAUUAAUGAGCCCUCCCUUCCCCUCCCUCAUACUUAAACAGUCUUGCUAUGGCCCACCAGCUGGUUUUGACUCUACAUACCCUCUCUUCAGCCUCAUUCCUGAGUGUGGGAAUGACAGAUGUGAGCCAGUGUCCUGUUGGAGCAGGUAGACCCUGUCCUUGCUUCACUGCAUUGUGGAGGGGGUUGUCACAGCAGCCUUCAGUGUCUCACUCUCAGUCUGCAGUCAUCGAUACCACUGCAAAAGAAGCUUCCAGUGGCAGCACGGAUCAUGGACUUCCACAUGGUUUCCAGUGGCAGCACAGACCACAGACGUCAAUGCAGUCUGUUGGUCGCAAGGGCCAUGGACAUCAACACGGUCUCCAUUGUCAGCAUGGACCGUGGAAGCCUUUGGGAGGAGACUAAUCCAGAAAAUGGACCACUCUUCCUCUUGAAUAUCCUGUUACUGCCAGAGUCAGGAUGAUUGUGAGCCACCUCCUCCAGGAAGCUCCCCUGGAAGAAGUUAUCAUUACAAAAGUCAGGGGAGUGCAGAAGAGUGCCCAGCCUGGAGGAGCAGUGGGGCCUGUCCUCGGCAGAGGCUCAUGAAGAAGAGGUGGAGCCUGGAGAGAGGAGAUUCUGGAGAGCUGUUUGCAGGCUGGAGUGGCCGGUAUGGCUCCUGCUCCUGAGUCCUCAUUGGGAGAAGGCUCUGGCCUUGGCAGAGGUGGCUCUCCUCCCAGCAAGCCAGGCACUGGACCCAGACUUCCCAGGAACCCAGGGUCCUAGGUUGUGGUUUAGCUGCCACUGAAAGCAAGGAAAAAAUGAAGGUAGAGACUCCAAGCUCUGGGUUCUGGAGGAAGAGCUCUCAGGAGGCUGUGUGAGACACUCAAAUACUUCACAAGCAGAAACUGGGCGAUGGUGUUGCCAUUGUGACUGAUUCCGCCGGCUGCUUCAAGCUCCCGCUGCCUUGCCCCUCCCUGCCAUGAUGGACUGUACCACAAACUGUGAGCCAAAAUAAGCCUUUCAUCCUUUGAGUUGCUUCUGUGACAGUUAUUUGCUAGCUUGAGACAGGACCUCACUGUGUAGCCCAGGUUGGCCUGGAAUUCACAGAGACCCACCUGCCUCUGCCUCUCCUGAAUGCUGGGAUUAAAGGCGUGCACCACCAUGCUUAGUAUGUCAGAGUGUUUUGUAACAACAACAGGAAAAUAAAUGAAGACACCAAGGAAUGAAUAAAAUUUCCCCAGAGUGUAGUUCAGAGGCAGUGAGCACCGAUUCAUUGCUGCCAUGGC